ACCACGUGUCCACUCUCUUGAAGGCAAGUCCAAAUCACUUAUGGCAUCUUUAUGGAAACUCAAAAUUAAAUGGAAAUAUGACUAUGAGGCCAUCAGCUAAAAAGCAUUGGCUUCUCAUGGGGGAUUCUGCUUUUUAUUCCUCCCCCUCUCUCAUCUGUAUCAUCUUUCAGAUCAUUGUCCUUGAAGAAAUCUCCCUUGGGCCUUUCCCGCUGCAGUUCUUGGAAGGCCAGCUUUGGUAACAGGUAGUAAAUUAUCUAGAUCACAGAACUAAAUUUAACAAGAGGUCUGAUAUUGUGAAUGUAUCACCAUGAGAUGAAUAUGGUGGCAGCAACUUUGCAAGAACUGGCCCAAACUGGUUAUCUGUGAAUGGCUGUGUAGACCAGGGGUCUGGAGAAGAAAUGCAAAUUACAGUGGAGUUGAUGAGCUGAAUUAUAUCUAGAAAUUUGUAACUGGGUGUCCAUUCUAAGAAUACCACCAGAUGAGGAAUGAGAUGGAGAAAAGAAUUCUCUGGUGUAGAUUAAUGGUGACUUUAUACACUUGGAGGAACUAGCUCUUCAUAAACCAGAUUUGGAUGAAGAAGGACUAGAAGAGUGGAACGACCAUGAUGGAGAUCCUGAAAGAUUGCAACUUUUUAGAAACAAACUCUUUUUCUGCCUUUUCUCAACUCUCUGCUGAAAGACCAACAGCUGGGCCCAUGCUGCAUGCAGAUGAGGAAUUAAGACUUUCUCAUAGGAGGAAGAAAACCAAAAGCAAUUCAUUUAAUGCAUUUUAUUGAUUAUACGGCUCAUAUACUUCCUGAGUUCGAGAUAGCACAUGUCCAUUCUCCUGACGGCAAGUUCAAAUCAUCCUUGGCAUCUUUAUGGUAUCUUUCUCUUCUUUAGAAGAGCCAAGUAAAGGAUGGGGAGAUGGUGUGUGUGUGUGUGUGUGUGUGUGAGUAGGGGAGGAACAGAGAGAGGGAAAAGGAGAGAGAGAAGGAAAAAACACUUCAGCGCUGAAAGGAAUUAGUCUUUGAAGGCAAAGGCAGGGUCUGGGAAAAGUCAGAGUCCUUAUAGUGUAGUUGUUAGGAAACAGGUUCUGGAGAUUUCAGGGUCAGCAUGAGGAAGAAUAUCCUUUGGCUAGUUUUGAAUAUCUUGAUAUUUGUUUCCAAAGAAACAGUUCCCCAAAGAUCUUAUUUUCCACAAAAGAAAGAGACACUGAGAAAAAGGGGUGGCUAGCCUCUGAGGGAUCAAUGGGGCUAAGAAGAGAAAAUAAGCUUUUCAGACUGAGAAGGAGAUGUGCUCGAUGUGCAGCGUGGACUUCUUUAAACCUGCUGGUUUUAGCGUAUCUUGGCUGCAGCCUCUGUGCUGUGGAGGAGAAGCUGUACUAGAGGAAGAACCGAGAGGGGUGUUUUACAGAUUGUUCCCUUCAGUCGGACAGGGGGGCACUAGAGGCUCCUUAGGGUGUUAGCAAGCUGGGUCUGCACAGAAGACAAAGAUUAUUUUGUUCCAGAGGUCCCCGGAUUUGGGGCUCUGAGUCUCCCUCAACAGCAGAAGUUUUUUCCCCUGGUGAGUUUAGGUAGGAAGCUUCAUUUUCUAGUCUCUGUACUUCAGCUGUUGGUAAUUUACAGGGCAACGACUUUUAUCCGGCCUGCCCAGAAAUCUCUGGGCACCUUAAACCAAUUACAACUCUUCACUCCUGUUACAGAUUUAAAAAUGUAUCUGGGAUAAUGUCAAACAGCAUUGAGAACAGACUUCGGGCCUCAAAUAAAGCAUCAGUGACCUUCUUACCCUCAAUUUUCCCUGGAUGUCAGGACACCCCUCCACAGGGUGAAGGAGUAUAUAAAUUUAAUCUGGUUGUUCAUAGCAGGGUUGAACGGAGGGACCAAUCAGUUGUCACUCUGGGCAGUGACAAGCUCACAGCCCUGUCAGUAAUGGGCAAUGGAGCACAAGCUGCCAUUAGAUGCAUCCAUGUCACCUGAGGAAGAGGGAAAGUGGGGGUGCAGAAAUCCUCACCAGAGUGCCUUGGUUAGGAUGAUUCGCACACAGCUUGAGAGGAAGUGAACCCCCCUAAACAGUGAAAAGGUCCAUUCCUGAAUCUGUUGGCGGAUUCCUAUCCUACCAUAUUUUUAGGAGAUGUGGGCAACUGUUUGGCAGGUAUGAUCCUCUGCAUCUCUCUCUCUUCAAAUCUCAACCCGUUCGCUUAUCGGAAGGUUAAUGUGUUCUCUUAUUCAAAGUGUGGCCCACAAAUCAGCAUCCUCAGUAUCAAUUAGGAGUCUGUUAGAAAUGCAGAAAUCUCAGACCACUCCACACCUCAGGAAUCUGAAUCUGCAUUUGAACAAGAGUUUAUGAUGAUUCGUAUGCAUAUUAAUCGCUUUGCGUAUAAUGCUGUAAACUACUUUUACUGGAAACAA